UUCGCUCCCGAGGGAGAAAAUGAUAAACUUAUUUAUCCUAGUUAACUGGUUUAGUCGAACAGGCAAUACAAUGCGUAUUAUUAACAAAAACAGUAUCAUCAUUAAACUUAUUUAUCCAUUUGCUGGAAACUCACUACUUCAAGGCUUAAAAAACUGUUCGAGGAUUCAAGUCGUGUGGAAAAGUUGAGAACUUUUGGAAAAAACGAAGAACCCUUUGUGACUGAUAAUGGGGAUUUACAUUGUGGAUUUGUAUUUCAAGAGAAAUAUUGGUGAUUUGAAGCUGCAAAUGACACAAUUCUGCAACUUGUGUUUUGGAAAAAGCACGAUUAAAUCAACAAUCAAUCAAGGCAAAAGAAGAUGAAGAGAUGGGCGAGGGAAGAGCCUGGAGAAGGAUGGGAUGAUUUGUGGGAAUCUGUUUGUGAGAACCUUUUGAGUUUCUUUUGUUCCGGCAGGUGGGGUUAUAGACGUAUUUUUGCUUAAAAUUUAAAUUACACUCAGGUCUUUAGAAAUUUAAUUAUUUUUUCUACCCCGGGACCUGUAAUUUUCCCAAUAUAAAUUGCUACAGCACACUCCUGAAUUAAGUGAAAACUUCUAGUAUAUUCCUCAAUCCUCUUCUCCUGGCAAAAACCAAGGCCUUCACGGAUUGCAUGCCUCUCUGCGAUCAUCCUUGAAACAUCCUCAAGUUUGACAGCAAGACUCAACCUAUCCCCUGUCAGUUUCUAAUGGCACCCCUUCUCCUGCGUGUUCUGAAAGCAACGGUUACCUCGGCUUGGGUUCUCUCCUCCUCCCAAAUUUGCCCUUACUCGCUAUUGAUUUUGCAAACAAACUAAAAGCACUGCAGCAGCAAGCACAAAUCACGGUCACUGCCAGUGUCACGGCAUUGCGCACUGGUCAAAGUCAUUGGACUUGAUACGAGGAUGAAAUCUAGUGUGUGACAAGGAGACAUUGUUCGCCACUUCCAGUUGUUAGUUAUAAGUUCUGCAGCACUUUUAAGUUUUUAAGUUGCUUUUGGACGAGAAAGAGAAAGAGAAAGAAUGGACAAAAGGCCGCCACCAGAUCCAGUGGCAGUACUGCGAGGCCAUCGUGCCUCUGUCAUGGACAUUUGUUUUCAUCCGUGUAAAUCCAUAUUAUUCUCCGGUUCUGCUGAUGGUGAACUACGGAUUUGGGACACGAUUCAACGUCGAACUGUGUCAUCUGCAUGGAUACAUAGUGCCUCCCAUGGGAUUAUUGCUGUUGCCAGUAGCGCAUCCCUCGGAGCCAAUAAAUUUCUUAGCCAGGGUAGGGAUGGGACUGUGAAAUUUUGGGAUAUCGGUGAUGGUGGUGUGUCCAGGAUUCCAUAUCUUACUAUCAAGACAAACUCUUACCAUUUUUGCAAGCUUUCCUUAGCGAAGAAGCCUUUCACUUGGUCUAAAUUUAAAGAAGAGAAUGCAUCAAGAGAUUGCCACAAAAUGGAGCUAAAGGGAAGUUCUGAUGCUGAAAAUCUAGAGGUUAGAAGAGAAGAGACUCAGACUGACCAAAGCAGUUCUGAAAGCCUUAAAGAUAAAGCAUGUCCGGAAGAGUAUGUGGCUUUAUCAGGGGAGCAGUCUUCCCAGGUUGAAAUUUGGGACCUCAAGUCCGCAAAGAAGUUUGCACAACUGCCUUCAAACACUCCUUGUAGCUCUUCAAAUGUCUGCAAUAAAAACAGGGGAAUGUGCAUGGCGCUUCAAUUAUUUUUACCUUCUGAAUCUCAAGGAUUUUUAAAUGUCUUGGCUGGAUAUGAAGAUGGUUCUAUGCUUUGGUGGGAUGUACGGAAUCCUGGAGUUCCUGUAACUUCUGUGAAGUUCCAUUCUGAGCCAGUUCUCAGUGUUUGUAUUGACGGGUUUUGUAAUGGAGGUAUAUCAGGAGCUGCAGAUGACAAGAUUGUAAUGUACGGUUUGGAGAAUUCUACGGGAACAUGUGUGGUCAAGAGAGAAAUCAACUUGGAACGACCUGGAAUAUCAGGCACCUCAAUCAGACCGGAUGGAAAAAUUGCUGCUGCUGCUGGCUGGGACCACAGAGUGAGGAUAUAUAAUUAUCGCAAAGGAAAUGCUUUGGCAAUAUUGAAGUAUCAUCAUGCCACGUGCAAUGCUGUCACUUAUUCAUCGGAUGGUAAAACUAUGGCCUCUGCGUCAGAGGACGCAACAGUGGCUCUAUGGGAAUUAUACCCUCCUCAAAAUAGAACCUAACCAGUUUGGGUUUCAUGUGUUGUACAGGAUUUAAAAUAAGUCAGUACUGUAAGGAAUGAAUUGGGGUGAGAGAAGUGGAAGUGGAAUCAUAAUUUGUCUGUUUGGUAUAAUAGAACACGGUUCCCCAUGAAACCCAAUUCCAUCAAAAUCAAUGGAACUGGGUUCCGUGCCUUACCUAAUGGAACUGGAACUGGGUUCCAUUAUCUUCCUGGACUUGUUUACCCUUGCCUUCUCCCUCCCACCCUCACCAUGUUCUCCCUCCCUUCACCAGCGACAGCGACAACCCUCCACUAGCAACAAUGGUGACGAUUCUCGAUCAUCCUCCUCCAGCAAUGCAUGGGUUGAGAAUAAUAUUUGAAAAUUAGAUCUUUGAAGUCUUCGAUCUUUUCCACUACUGUGAGUUUGUGACGAUGCCUGUAGAUUCUAGCGAACUAACCCACUAUUUCCGGUUCAACUCCAAAGAGGGUGGAGUAGAGGGUGACAAUAACUUUGGUGAAGAUGAUGGCAAACGAUGAUGACUCAUGACCGACGAAUGACAAUUUCUAGUUCAAUUUCUUCUUCGAUUUCUGUCUUUAAUUACUCCAUUGCAUCUUAAGGUCGAUUUCAUGGCAGAAGGGUUGAAGAUUUUCGGCCGAAGCUUUGAUUUCCUCCCUCUUUCUGUGUUGAUUUUUUUUUUAUUUGGGGUUUUAAUUAUCUGUGUCUGUAUUCAUUAUUUUUUUUUGAAAUUAUUAUUUGUGCUUGGGUUAUUGUUUUC